rnacentral:rRNA from 1 species
GUAGCUUGACAUUGGGUCUUGGUACUACAUGUACAGGAUAGGUGGGAGGCUUUGAAACCAGGACGCCAGUUUUGGCGGAGCCAUCCUUGGGAUACCCCCCUUGUAGUACUGGGACUCUAACCAUAGGCCAUGAAUCUGGUCUUGGGACACUGUCAGGUGGGCAGUUUGACUGGGGCGGUCGCCUCCCAAAAGGUAACGGAGGCGCU